GACGAACGCUGGCGGCGUGCUUAACACAUGCAAGACGAACGGAAAGGCCCUGCUUGCAGGGUGCUCGAGUGGCGAACGGGUGAGUAACACGUGGGUGAUCUGCCCCUUACUUUGGGAUAAGCCUGGGAAACUGGGUCUAAUACUGGAUAGGACCAUGCUGUAGGUGGUGUGGUGGAAAGAUUUUUUCGGUAAGGGAUGAGCUCGCGGCCUAUCAGCUUGUUGGUGGGGUAAUGGCCUACCAAGGCGUCGACGGGUAGCCGGCCUGAGAGGGUGGACGGCCACAUUGGGACUGAGAUACGGCCCAGACUCCUACGGGAGGCAGCAGUGGGGAAUAUUGCACAAUGGGCGCAAGCCUGAUGCAGCGACGCCGCGUGGGGGAUGACGGCCUUCGGGUUGUAAACUCCUUUCAGCCAUGACGAAGCCUCUUUUGGGGUGACGGUAGUGGUAGAAGAAGCACCGGCUAACUACGUG
rnacentral:rRNA from 1 species